rnacentral:lncRNA from 1 species
CUCCAUAUCGACCGUUACCCCAUCCCAGCCCCAGCAGGCCCCCAACACCAGCAACAGCCGCCAUCUUCUCCAUAGGAGCAGCAACGACACCACCACCAUCCCUCCCUCCCUCCUAGCCCAGCUCGCUACUCCUCUCUCAUUUCCCUAUCCCUUAAUUGUAACCACCCAUCCACCCCACUACCAUCGCCAAUAACAGAUCUCUACCAUCUAUUGUAAUGGCACUGAAGAAAAAUAUCAUCAAUCAAACAAAUGGCAACAGUCUCAAUCAACGUGGGAAUUAAAUGGAACUCAAUCCCUUCCACAUCCAUCUUCACCACCACGAAAUCUCUCUCUGAAACCGUGUUCUUCAACCAAUCCGUGAAAUCAAACCCCUCAAUCUUAUCCACAUUAUCCCCAUAAUUCAACAAAGGCCUCACCGGUUGAACCCUCCCCAUUCCCUUACCUUUUCCCACGGUUUUCUUACUUGGGUCUCUUGUGUUCUCAAAGAACUAGAACAAGGUCUCAUUCCUCACCCUAGCCGAAUAUGUCAAAAGAGAAACUCAUUUCUUCAUGAAAAGCCUCAUCAGCCUGAAUUGCAUAGACCUCAAAGCUCUUGUUCUGUUUUGGGUACUGUGUUUGGGUAUGAGGUGACUGUGGGUAUAAAGGUGGGUAGGGUACGGG